rnacentral:rRNA from 1 species
UGGGGAAUCUUGCGCAAUGGGGGAAACCCUGACGCAGCGACGCCGCGUGCGGGAUGAAGGCCUUCGGGUUGUAAACCGCUUUCAGCAGGGACGAGGCCUUAUGGUGACGGUACCUGCAGAAGAAGCUCCGGCUAAAUACGUGCCAGCAGCCGCGGUAAUACGUAUGGAGCAAGCGUUAUCCGGAUUCAUUGGGCGUAAAGCGCUCGUAGGCGGUCUGUUAGGUCGGCAAGUUAAAUCCGGGGGCUCAACCCCCGUCCGCUUCCGAUACCGGCAGACUUGAGUUUGGUAGGGGAAGGUGGAAUUCCUAGUGUAGCGGUGGAAUGCGCAGAUAUUAGGAAGAACACCGGUGGCGAAGGCGGCCUUCUGGGCCAUAACUGACGCUGGGGAGCGAAAGCUAGGGGAGCGAACAGG